rnacentral:rRNA from 1 species
AACGAACGCUGGCGGCAUGCCUAACACAUGCAAGUCGAACGAGACCUUCGGGUCUAGUGGCGCACGGGUGCGUAACGCGUGGGAACCUGCCCUUAGGUUCGGAAUAACUCCCCGAAAGGGGUGCUAAUACCGGAUAAUGUCUUCGGACCAAAGAUUUAUCGCCUUUGGAUGGGCCCGCGUUGGAUUAGCUAGUUGGUAGGGUAAAAGCCUACCAAGGCGACGAUCCAUAGCUGGUCUGAGAGGAUGAUCAGCCACACUGGGACUGAGACACGGCCCAGAAUCGUACGGGAGGCAGCAGUGGGGAAUAUUGGACAAUGGGCGAAAGCGUGAUCAAGCAAUGCCGCGUGAGUGAUGAAGGCCUUAGGGUUGUAAAGCUCUUUUACCCGGGAUGAUAAUGACAGUACCGGGAGAAUAAGCUCCGGCUAACUCCGUG